rnacentral:tRNA from 1 species
UAGCUCAGUUGGUAGAGCGCUCCACUGGAAAUGGAGAGGUCUCUGGUUCGAUGCCGCA